GAGGGUAUAGCUCAGUGGUAGAGCGUGUGUUUAGCAUGCACAAGGUGCUGGGUUCAAUCCCCAGGACCUCCA
rnacentral:tRNA from 1 species